rnacentral:sRNA from 1 species
ACAAACUGCAUAUCCUCGGGAUGCGGUAGGCUCGUUGUGGCUGUUGGCCGGACAGUGACAUUGGUGGGGAAAUCACUAGAACUAGAGGUCACGGCUGUAAACUCUGUUGUCGUUGAACUAGCGCUAGACUCCACGGAAUGUUGUGAUUUACCACUGGUUACCGACUCGGAAAUAGUGGUAAAAACAGAAGGUGGUCUACUGACCGGCUGGGUCAUGGACGGAAAGACAGUGUUGACCACAUAGCCGGUUGCGUGUGUUGGGGCGAUAGAAGACGCUUCACUGGGCCCUGUAGAAGACCCCAGGACAUCGGAUGAAAUGAUGGAAUGUUGAGAGGCGUGGUCCGUAGAGGAAAGUGAGGUCCCAGACGAUUCCAGUCCGGGGGAAACAGAAGGGGGUGUGGAAGUUGCGACAUUAGAAAGCUGUGUUGUAACACUCUCCUCUAGAGAGCUGCUUGUUUGAAAUGGAGAAUGGGAGGUGGAGUUCUUUGGUAAAGAACUUGAUAUUGAAUCGCUUGCGUUUUGAAGACUUACGGAAUUAUCAACAAAAGAGCUCAUUACUGUGUGUGUUGAUGUUUCUAAAAGCAACGAGGUGUCCAUGUUUGUAAGAGUUUCUGCAGUGGAUGUUUUUAACGACCAGGAAGAUGAUGGAGCCAUUGAUGAGUCAACGAACCUUGAUGAUACUGCUGAACUGUGAAAGUCUUCCGAUGUAACCAUUGUGGUGUCUGUCGCGAUUAUAACAUUCGUUGAGGUUACGUUCGGUGGUAGCGACGAAGAGGUAAAUGGUAGCGAUGAAGUGGUUAGUGGUAGCGACGAAGAGGUUAGCGAUGUUUGUGGUAACAAUAAAGAAGUUCGUUGUUGCAGUGAAGAGGUUAAUGAUAGUGAUGAAGAGACUUGUGGUAGCGUUGAAGAGGUUAAUGGCUGAGAUAAAGAGGUUAAUGGUUGAUAUGAAGAGGUUAAUGGUUGAUAUGAAGAGGAUAAGGGCUGAGAUACAGAGUCUGUUGGUAGCGACGAAAAACUACUUAUGACCGAAUCUGUUGCAGUUGACUGUAUAUUGACGAUCAUUCUUCCUGUAUUAAGCAACACAGAACUCGAUGUCUCUGAUUGACUAGCCGAAUCAGUCAUUUCCGUUGUAGAUAUUGGUGACGAAGGGACAAUAGUAACAUCAGAAAUUUUGGGUUGAUGUGAGGUGAUGCUAUCGCUGUGAAUGGAGCUGUAUGGUGCUGUAGAUGGCUGUAAAGUCGUGCUGUGUACCGUGACAACGUUUGAUGAUCCCGCGAACACGGACGAUUCGGACGACGACGAGACUGAUGAUGUUUCCGUUGUGUUUUCAGACACAUAGCUCUUUGUUGAAAACACAAAAUGUUCGCUGGAUGAUACAUUGGCUGAAGUUUCAAAAACUUGACCGCUUGGUCUUGAGACGACCUUAUUUUUUAGGGCCAAGGCUACAGUAGAAAGGUCAUUUGCUAUUGAAGUAGGUCCGGUGUUAGUGGCGGAGGAGGGCUCUAUCUCCUGGGUAGGAGCGGUCAUUGUAGACGAUGUUAGAUACACUGACGACUCUAGGUUAGAUGUCGCGUGGGUUUCUUCUGGCAUGCCGGAAACCGUUUCAUCUCCGUUAACAUUACCUGCAAUAAUGGAACGAGUGGAAGUAAUGAUUCAUCGAUCUCUUUAAGUGUAGGGAGAAAAAAUAUUUUUCAACAGAACUAUAAAUAUCGCGGAGGUGAAAGAUUUGAGAAAACAGGAUAUUAUUAGGGGCCCGCUGAGUCUUGAGAGUCAAGAAAUAGGUUACUUCGUUUAAAAGCGUAUAAUUACCCAGAAUAAUGAUGUAAAUUGUUACUCUCCACCACAUGGCCAAACCAAUUGUCUGUACACUGCACACCUAGAAAACGAGAGAAACAGAAUCUGCCUCAAAUCAGUACUGAGAGAUUGGGGACCUCGCUUGAAUGUCGCUGUAUCGGCACUGCGACGUUCAUCUUAUUAAAAAAGUCAGAAAAUGGCUCCAUCAGAUUCAUCUCCUUAAUUUAGAAGAGACUGAUUAGUCUGUGUUUAUCGACCAGUCCUGAGUGGCCGAGAAACAAGCGCCGCUCUCGGCUCGCGCACUUUUGGUGCACUCUGUGAAUCAGGAUGACAAAUACUACAAUACACGAUGUUAACAUCGAUGAAUUAGGUAAACUACAAGAAAUUCUAAUCGGAAGAAAACAUCUCUUUACUUGACUAAAGCACAGCUGCAUUAAUUAAAUUUAUUAAC